UACAGAGGGUGCGAGCGUUAAUCGGAAUUACUGGGCGUAAAGCGUGCGUAGACGGUUAUUUAAGUCGGGUGUGAAAGCCCCGGGCUCAACCUGGGAAUUGCAUUCGAGACUGAAUAGCUAGGGUACGGUAGAGGGAAGUGGAAUUUCCGGUGUAGCGGUGAAAUGUGUAGAGAUCGGGAGGAACACCGGUGGCGAAGGCGGGACUCUGGGCCUACCCUGACGCUGAGGCGCGAAGGCGUGGGGAGCAAACGGG
rnacentral:rRNA from 1 species